UAUCAGAGGUGCCCCACUCCCACCACCCGUAGGAGCUACCUGCUGCAGCCUCAGUGGUCUUUGCAGGAGUAGCUUGUUUUCUGAGCAUCAGAAUCCAAAGCCCCUAUUGCUGCGGCCCCCAGCUGUCUUCUCCUGGGCUGCAGUGGCUGCCUGGGAUUAGUGCUAGACCCCGGGGUGGUUGGAAAGGUGGCAGAAUUGAGGACAGAAUUGAUGGGGUGAGACAGGUGGCCAAAGAGAACCCAGCCACAAGGCAGGGCUGGCAGUGUGGACCCAGAAUGGAGUCCAUACUGGCCAUGUGGGCAAAGGGAGAUCUGAGGAGAGAAAUGAAAUCUUGAAGGCCAGGCAUGGGUGUUCUUUUCUGUGUUGCUCAUAUUCUCUCUCUCUCUCUCUCUCUCUCUCUCUCUCUCUCUCUCUCUCUCUCUCUUUCUCCACCACUAAUCUCCCUUUCUCUCCGUGUUUUGUUGCCUGAGUGUGCUGAUUCCCAUGCCUCUCACGGCUUGUCCCCCUUUAGCCUGGGAUGUUUUCCCCUGAGUCGAAGCUGGGCAGACCCCUUCGGGGCAAACCCAAGGCAAUGUUCAGCCCAUGUAAUCCCAGUCCAGUCCUGCGUGCGCCUGGUGGCGCCCGCUGCUGGUGUGAACAGUAAGUACGUCAGAAGUGUCUAGAGGUGCCAGAAAAGCCAGCCUGCUGACAGAGGGCCUGGUCACAUAGGUUCUCCUUGCUCCAAAGUUUAAAAAAAAAUGACCCUCUCACAGACGUUCAUCUCAGUUCAUUUCAAAGCCUGGAAACCAUCUCUGAGACGCUGACCAUGUCGCCAUUCCAUCAUCGCAGGCCUGGGGGUAUGGUGUCCCAGGGUCCUGGGCUAAGGAGGCAGGCCCAGCUCUCCAAAAACAAGCAGGAACCUUGAGCAGGAAAGAUGAGCAGGUGGGUGGGGACUCUGAGGUCUUGUACCUCUGGUCUUUCUCACGGUUUGGACGGUUGGCCCUCUUUGGUUUUUCUCUCUCUGGCCAUCCGCACUGGAGUUUGGAACAGGAAGGGAAUGGCCUGGUUGCUGAGAGAAUCAUCGACUGCAGAUGAAACAUCAGCCACUUGGCCAUAGACCCUUUCUCAAGGUUGAGGCAGAAAGAAAAAGCAGGUUCCAGGGAUACCCUGGAAACUGCCCAUCACCCUGUCCUCCUAGAUCCCAGAUGGCUGUCCCUUGUCCCUGGACCUCCCAAGAGGGACUGCCCCACUUUCAAACUCUUUCCAGUUUAAGGUGGGAGCCCCAGGGGCAGGGGUCGCGUAGACAGAGACUCGGAGCCAGAGGAGGGGGUGGUCUCAGGCUGUACUGUCUCUGUUGAGGCAGAGACAGGAAAGAGCAGUCACUAUCUGAUCCUUCUCUGGACAAGAAGAGCAGGCUAUGGACAUCUACACAAGAGCAUCUUUGCCAGCUGGAGAAGAUGCACUUGGAAGCCUCCAUUCUUCCCCAUGCAAGGCAUGUGGACCCCAGCUUCCGGCCCCCCCUUCCCCACCAUACCACUUUCUCAUCUCCCCAGCAUCCUCCUCCCAGCCUGCAGACCCUCCAUGAGGGAGACAAGAGCCAAAUGGAACGUAAGGGAGAAUAUGCAGGUCUGUGGGCACAUAGGUGUCCCACAGACACACCCUAUAUGCUAGGCAGCCCCCAGCUUGUCACAUGGUGCCAGAGUUUCCCUAAUAGCUGGCCUUUCUGGUUCCGAGUCAAUCAGGAUCGAAGGCCCUGGGAUCUUCAAGGAAUGCACUGUACGUGAAAUGCCUUGCCGUCUUGUACGACAGACUUUUUUAAGUUCCAAAAUUAUGAUGGGAAAUUUUUUUUUUGGAUUUGCUUUAUGAAUAAACCUGAUUGGUCCAUUUC
rnacentral:lncRNA from 1 species